rnacentral:ncRNA from 2 species
UUUCACAAAACCCGCGAUGGUUCUUAAUCGCCCGAAGUGCGCUUGGAAUGAAAAAGGGAAUACGGUGCGGAAGAGCCCAGAGGCGCCAAACCCGUAACUGCCCCCGCAACUGUGAGCGGCGAGUGAUCCUGAGGACGACCACUGAGCCAUCAUCGGCUUGGGAAGGUUCAGGAAAACGUUGAGCCGCAAGUCAGGAGACCUGCCAUCAGCGGCAUCUUACG